rnacentral:rRNA from 1 species
CCUACGGGAUGCAGCAGUGGGGGAUAUUGCACAAUGGGGGAAACCCUGAUGCAGCGACGCCGCGUGGGUGAAGAAGCGCCUCGGCGCGUAAAGCCCUGUCAGCAGGGAAGAAAAUGACGGUACCUGAAGAAGAAGCCCCGGCUAACUACGUGCCAGCAGCCGCGGUAAUACGUAGGGGGCAAGCGUUAUACGGAUUUACUGGGGGUAAAGGGGGCGCAGACGGCGGUUCAAGCAAGGAGUGAAAGCCCGGGGCCCAACCCCGGGACUGCUCUUGGAACUGCGUGGCUAGAGUGCAGGAGGGGCAGGCGGAAUUCCUGGUGUAGCGGUGAAAUGCGUAGAGAUCAGGAGGAACACCGGUGGCGAAGGCGGCCUGCUGGACUGCAACUGACGUUGAGGCCCGAAAGCGUGGGGAGCAAACAGGAUUAGAUACCCGUGUAGUC